rnacentral:rRNA from 1 species
UACGUAGGGACCAAGCGUUGUUCGGAUUUACUGGGCGUAAAGGGCGCGUAGGCGGCGUGGUAAGUCACUUGUGAAAUCUCUGAGCUUAACUCAGAACGGCCAAGUGAUACUGCUGUGCUCGAGUGUGGAAGGGGCAAUCGGAAUUCUUGGUGUAGCGGUGAAAUGCGUAGAUAUCAAGAGGAACACCGGUGGCGAAGGCGGUUCUCUGGGCAUGAUCUGACGCUGAGGAGCGAAAGUGUGGGGAGCGAACAGG